UGGCUCAGUUGGUAGAGCAUGUGACUCUUGAUCUUGAGGUUGUGAGUUCAAGCCCCAC
rnacentral:tRNA from 1 species